GGGCUUGUAGCUCAGUGGUAGUAGCGCUCGCUUUGCACCUUUGUAAAUUGCGAGAGGUCAGGAGUUCAAUCCUCUUCAAGUCCA
rnacentral:tRNA from 1 species